CCUACGGGUGGCAGCAGUGGGGAAUAUUGCACAAUGGGCGCAAGCCUGAUGCAGCGACGCCGCGUGAGCGAUGAAGGCCUUCGGGUCGUAAAGCUCUGUCCUAAGGGAAGAAUAAUGACGGUACCUUAGGAGGAAGCCCCGGCUAACUACGUGCCAGCAGCCGCGGUAAUACGUAGGGGGCGAGCGUUAUCCGGAAUCACUGGGCGUAAAGGGUGCGUAGGCGGCCCUGCAAGUCAGGAGUUAAAUCCCUCGGCUCAACCGAGGUCAGCUCUUGAAACUGUAGGGCUUGAGUGCAGGAGAGGAAAGUGGAAUUCCUGGUGUAGCGGUGAAAUGCGUAGAUAUCAGGAGGAAUACCAGUGGCGAAGGCGACUUUCUGGACUUAGACUGACGCUGAGGUACGAAAGCGUGGGGAGCAAACAGGAUUAGAUACCCUAGUAGUC
rnacentral:rRNA from 1 species